GAGGGAGACAGGGGAGAAGAGGGGGAGUCUCAAGGUUGCAGGAGGCAGCCAGGAGCACUUAUGGAUUGAGGCAAAGGGCACGGUCUGAGAUGAGCUCUGACUGCUUCAUUGGGAAUUCUCCUCAGGAAUACAUUGCAUUUUUAGUCAUCUCUAAUUGCUUUUUAUUUGAAACUGUGUCACAGACAACAAUCUGCUUGUGAUGUACAUCUUCAAUUAGAGAGUUACGCUGUCUGCUGGCUGACUCAAACAAGUGGAGUGACUGCAUCAUUUAUUCUGCUGACUGGUGGCAGAACUGAAAAAGCUUCUUGGAUAAGAGGUGUAAUGUUGUCAACUCUACAACUUCAAUAAAGUCGCAUCCGUUACAGAGUAAGAACGACAGUCAUAUGAAAAAGUCCUGAUGAACCAUGUGAAAAUGGAGUAGAAGAGAGUCGCCAAAUCAGCAGCUGCAGCAGAGAAGAAGCUGCUGGUGUGUCUGCGGCCGCAGAAGGGCAGAGCUCCAGAGAGGUGACACUCAGCUGACAUUCUGGAAAAUAAUCAUGUUCUAGAUGUAUACGUUCACUGGCCGAGUGUUAGGGGGUAUAAGGGGUGCGGUCGCAUCCAGGCCAGGGCUAGCAGUUAAUGAACAGUACAAAAAUUACAACUUAAGGUCAUUUAGACUGACACUUAGAGGGAGGAGUUAAAGAGUUUGAUGGCCACAGGCAGGAAUGACUUCCUGUGGUGCUCUGUGGUACAUUUUGGGGGGAGUCUUUUGCUGAAGGUACUCCUUUGUUUGACCAGCAUGUCAUGGAAUGGGUGGGAGACACUGUCCAAGAUGGCACGUAGUUUAGCCAGCAUCCUCCUCUCUGACACCACCGCCAGAGAGUCCAGCUCAA